rnacentral:piRNA from 1 species
UUAUCACAGAUCAAUUCGUGG